GACGAACCGAGCGAACGUUGUUCGGAAUCACUGGGCUUAAAGGGCGCGCAGGCGGCUUGCCAAGUCAGGAGUGAAAUCUUUCGGCUCAACCGGAAAAGUGCUUUUGAUACUGGCGAGCUAGAGGGAGAUAGGGGCAUGUGGAACUUCCGGUGGAGCGGUGGAAUGCGUUGAUAUCGGAAGGAACGCCGGUGGCGAAAGCGACGUGCUGGACCUCUUCUGACGCUGAGGCGCGAAAGCCAGGGGAGCGAACGGC
rnacentral:rRNA from 1 species